GGCAAUAGCUCAGUUGGUAGAGCGUUGGCUUCCCAAGCCGAAGGUCGCGGGUUCGAGACCCGUUUGCC
rnacentral:tRNA from 1 species